UUUGUAGGAAAAAGAACCUCUUUCUUUACUUCUUCUUGGGCCUUUCUGGUUGCUCUGGUAAGUUCUUCUCUUCUUCUUCCUUUUUGCUCACUGUUUUCUUCUUGUUCCUUUUUAUUUGUGUUAUUUACCUGGGUGUUCUAUUUGGGUUUCAUCGGUGGCUUUUCAGUUUUUUCGCUACAGAGAAUUAGUGAAAUGGAUAGCUUCUUUGUGUUUACUCUGCUAUUUCAACCACACAUGUGUUAUUUUCAGUUUCUUCACUAUAGAGGAACAUCGAAUGAGCCUGAACAUUACAAAUCGUCAUGUGUGUGGAUGUUGUUUGGCGGACACCCAUUUCCAUUUCUUGUGAAUUCAGCUCAUACAAAGCAUCAAGGGGAAAUUGAAAUUACUUAUUUAUUUAUUCAUUUUGGGUUUCUAAAAGUGAAAAUUGCUCAAGGUGCGGAAAAGGGGACAAUUCUUCCAUUAUAAGAGAAGAGCACAGCUUGAAUUAGAGAGAAUGGGAGAUGAAGUUAUUGAACUGGUAAUUCUAUUGGCUAUAAUGAAUUAUUCAAUUGUAGGGAAGUACAACAAUGACUAAAGAAUUAUGUUGCUGAAAGCUGCAUUAGGAGUUCACAACCUCGAAUUUUGAACAUGGUUUCCAGAAAAGACCAAUAUGGUGAUGAAUUGCAGAUGGGUAUAUAUACUCAUUCUAUAUCUUAGUAAACUGUAGGGGUAAGGUCUGCGUACACUUUACCCUCCCCAGACCCCACAUUGUGGAAUUGCACUAGGUACGUUGGUUGGUUAGUUAUAUCGUAGUAAAUUGAUUUCUCAAUCUGCUGACCUGCUUCUGUAAUGAACUGCUUCAUUACAGAAGAAAAAGAAAGACGUAUAGAUACAUCACUUGAUUUGUUGACAAUUAUUAGCUUUUAGACAUUUAUACAAAAAUAAAAAGAUUUUGCAAUUUUACAAUAGGUUGUGGGUGUACAUUUCUUUCUUGAAAUGUUGCCUAUGUUGUAUGAACUGCGAUGAGCCCUUUUUUACAACCUACUCUUAUCCUGAUGCAGGGAUUUGCUUUUAUGGUUUUUUUUUUUUGGGAGUCAUGAAUUUCCUGCGCUAAACCUGAACAUUCAAUCAAGUUGAGCUGGUUAUCGAGAUGUCGACAUAGAUUUCAGUAGUUGAAACAAAUGCUAUGAGAUUAUGGCCUAUUUUCCCUUUCCACUUAAUAACCUUCUUGUAAAAGGUAAAGUGUGAUUAUAUCCUAAACUAAAUGGUUUAAGCAAAGAAUUUAAAAAGGUACUUUCCCUCCUUCAUUUUAUAUGUUGUCAUAAUGGCGACAACAUAUAAAUUUGUGAUUACUAUCUGAAGUAAGUGCUGCCUUCACCAAUCUUAGAUGCAAUAUGGUGAAUGCUGAAGUGACGAAAGCUAUAUCACAAGUUGCUGAUGAGAAAACAAAUGGGGUUACAACUGUGGAUCUUGAAAAGUUGCUUAAGAUCAAGCAACUUUUAUGCAGUGUUCUUAGAGGCGGUAAAAAUCAAGAGAUGCCGUGCAGUGCUGUAUCAUGGGGCCACUUAGACUGAGAGAAGGCUUAACCAUCUGAUUUUUAUAUACACGGAAUAUUAACAUGCCACAGUGAAGAGUCAGACGAUGAAGAAAGGCAAAAUAUGUUGUUAAAUGGCAUGACAAUGACUACUCAGUAGUGAUAAUUCGAUGCAAGGGUAGCCUAAAUGGCUAAAACUUCUAUGUAUGAUCUAAACUCUGGGAGAUGUGCAGCAUGUUGGUUUUCCAUGGUAACAUCGAUGUUGAAGGGCCAGAAUAUUAAGAGGGAAUACUACAUAAGGCAUCUUGGUGGAUCACCUGCAAAAUCAAGAUGCAGGAAAACAAGCAGUGUUUCAAUGUCUUGAAGCAGCUAUAGAAAGAAGCAUAUCCAAGAUUAGCACUUUGAUUUACCUUUUUCGACAUCUAGGUACAAUUUUCCAGCUCUAGCUCGCUCUUUCAAGUAAUAGAUAUAAGUCUUGACAGUAAAUAGUAGAUGCAACAGGAAAAAAGAGAAGAGGGAAUAAAAAAACGAUGGAUGCACUGCUGGGUAGCUGGGUGCAUCAACCUCUUUCUUUCACAGGAGAGGGGACAAUACGCUUGUUGGAGCUUGGGCUACUCAACCGAUAAGAAUAGGGGCUGAACUUAGUAAAGCAGUCUUUGAAGCUCGGCGAAAAUGAAAGGUUUACCACGACAUUCUGAUCCAUGAUUCACUAACUCAAAAGGAAUGUCUGGGAAACAAAGAUAUAACAAAUUUACCGCGGGACCUCACAGGGUUACUACUUUGUCACCCGUGGUAUUCUCCGUGCAAAAGAUUUGCUGGAUCUAAAUUGCUAAUUUUAGCUCUUUCUUCGCCUAAACGAUUUUCAGUUGUGCUCUAAAGAUAUGUCACACGUUUUAUCAUAUCUGAAUUUUCUGAAAAUGAGAUACUUUGCUGGUUCUUAUAAAAGAAUAGGUUGCUAAAUCUCAAUGUAGGUUUCUGCUACUUUGGUUGGACUAAAUGUAAUUGUCUUGCCUGAAAUUGUGCUCUUUCUGAUUACUUCCUCAUAAAGCAAAUGGGGUUUUAAUAGCAUGUAUCAGGCUGAAGAAGUUAUACGUAAUGGGAACAGAACAUCCAAACACAUAAUUAAUCGAGUCGAAAAUGGAGUACUCUGAUAAAUAACAAUAAUACCGGAUAGACCAACUAAGCCAAAAUAUCUUCAAAAUUCACGACAUAUUUGAAAGUUGAGGUAUUGUGUUAGUAUAAUUGGUGGUGCUUUUAUAUAUUCUUUUAAUUUAAAGACAGACUAUACUUUCAUUGACUUGGUCCGAAUUUGGGAUCUUCAUACAUGUCACUUACCUUACAAAUAUGGUACAUAUCUCAUCGUUAGUUUUUUUGUUGUGAACUCUAGAAAGGCCAUGCCUUCAAUUUUAUCCCGAAUAAGUAAAGUACCUGUCUUAUGAAGAAAAUAAAGUA